rnacentral:ncRNA from 2 species
UACCUAAAUCCGCGGGGCCAUCUGCUUAUUAGGGGUCUGCUCGGGAUUAUCAAAUUGGUAGGUAGAUCUCUAAUAAGCAAAGGUCCCGCGGAUUUACCCAAUCGGUA